AACGAACGCUGGCGGCAUGCCUAACACAUGCAAGUCGAACGAGACCUUCGGGUCUAGUGGCGCACGGGUGCGUAACGCGUGGGAACCUGCCCUUAGGCUCGGAAUAACUCCCCGAAAGGGGUGCUAAUACCGGAUAAUGUCUUCGGACCAAAGAUUUAUCGCCUUUGGAUGGGCCCGCGUUGGAUUAGCUAGUUGGUAGGGUAAAAGCCUACCAAGGCGACGAUCCAUAGCUGGUCUGAGAGGAUGAUCAGCCACACUGGGACUGAGACACGGCCCAGACUCCUACGGGAGGCAGCAGUGGGGAAUAUUGGACAAUGGGCGAAAGCCUGAUCUAGCAAUGCCGCGUGAGUGAUGAAGGCCUUAGGGUUGUAAAGCUCUUUUACCCGGGAUGAUAAUGACAGUACCGGGAGAAUAAGCUCCGGCUAACUCCGUG
rnacentral:rRNA from 1 species